rnacentral:tRNA from 1 species
GUUGUCGUGGUCGAGUGGUUAAUGCUUUAGACUCUGCAUCUUUUGGGAUUUUCCCGCGCAGGUUCGAAUCCUGUCGACAUCU